GAUGAAGAACGUAGCGAAAUGCGAUACUUGGUGUGAAUUGCAGAAUCCCGUGAACCAUCGAGUCUUUGAACGCAAGUUGCGCCCGAAGCCAUUAGGCCGAGGGCACGCCUGCCUGGGCGUCACACGUCGUUGCCCCCCCCAUCUACUCCUUCGGGAUUGCGGGGGGCGGAUGAUGGCCUCCCGUGCGCCUCGUCGCGCGGUUGGCAUAAAUGCCAAGUCCUCGGCGACGCACGCCACGACAAUCGGUGGUUGCGAAACCUCGGUUGCCCGUCGUGUGCGGUCGUCGCGCAUCGAGGGCUAGAAAAAAUUGUCGGGCUCCGGCUCGGCUUUCAACGCGACCCCAGGUCAGGCGGGGUUACCCGCUGAAUUUAAGCAUAUCAAUAAGCGGAGGA
rnacentral:misc_RNA from 1 species